AGUCGCGAGUGGCAGACGCCAUUAACCGCCCCUUGGCGGGCAGCACCUCUCGCAGCGCCGGGCACCCGCGGUUUUGAAGCUUAAAAAGGUGGGACACUGAAACCAGCCACAACAUCACCACCAAAACCAGAUGCUGGCCUGUCUGCUCAUCCAAGUCUGCUGUCCACGCUCUGGGCCUUGUGAAUUACCACAGGUUUUUCCCUACCACAUUGCAAACUACUCAGCCCACAGUGAGAAAGCUGGACCAGGCAAGCUGAAGAGGCUGCUGAUGAAAACAUGGAGAGACUCCUGCAGAACUCUUGGCAAUGCAUCCUUUUCUGACAACAAGCCUUUAAUACCUAGUCCGAGUUCAAGUGGGCACAACAGAUUCAGAUAAGCAGGGAUUAGCACAAUUUAGGCAAGAAAAUCCUUGUUCCAGUUUUGCAGGCUGCAUGUCAAGGCAGGCAGAUACCUAAAUGUGUAAAUACAUGCUAAAGUAGGCAAACAUACAAAAUUCUGUUCUGCAGGGCUACAUUGUUAUGGAUUCCUGAGGCUGGUAGUUUGAAAGUGAUUUCAGGGACACUUAUACUAGCUGCAGUCACACUGCAUUAUGUGUAAACAUACUCUUAGAGCAAGUCACUUAGCAAUCUGGCAGCUAAAUGUAAAACCGCACGGGAAGAAAUCAGUCUGCUUUUGCAAAUGUUAGCUAUUGGCAGGCUUAGUACAAAACUAAAUAAUUGUUAGCAAAACAAUGCUCCGAUACAGAAAGUGCAAAAAAGCCCCAAAGUGUGCCCUAAGUAGCUGAAGCAAUAAAGCCUCAUUUCCUUUAUCA
rnacentral:lncRNA from 1 species